ACAAAAGGGAAAAAGGCGUGGCGGGCGCAAGCUCGUUUGACGUUCUGCUCCCGAAAUCCUGUAUUCACCCCAAGUUCCUUUAAAAUUUCAAUAAAAACUCUGCCAAAAGACCACGUUUUUAAAGUGGCAUCUAAUUGCACAAAGCGA
rnacentral:misc_RNA from 1 species